GUCGAGAAUCUUUCACAAUGGGGGCAACCCUGAUGGAGCGACGCCGCGUGGAGGAUAAGGUCUUCGGAUUGUAAACUCCUGUCAUGCGUGAACAAGGUUGCUUGGUUAAUACCUGGGCAAAUUGAUGGUAACGCAAGAGGAAGAGACGGCUAACUCUGUGCCAGCAGCCGCGGUAAUACAGAGGUCUCAAGCGUUGUUCGGAAUCACUGGGCGUAAAGGGUGCGUAGGUGGCGUGGUAAGUCAGAUGUGAAAGCCCGGGGCUAAACCUCGGAACUGCAUCCGAUACUGCCAUGCUAGAGUACUGGAGAGGUGACUAGAAUUCUCGGUGUAGCAGUGAAAUGCGUAGAUAUCGAGAGGAAUACCAAAGGCGUAGGCAGGUCACUGGACAGUUACUGACACUGAGGCACGAAGGCCAGGGGAGCGAACGGGAUUAGAUACCCUGGUAGUCC
rnacentral:rRNA from 1 species